GUGUCAGCAGCCGCGGUAAAACGUAGGUGGCGAGCGUUAUCCGGAAUUACUGGGCGUAAAGCGUGUGCAGGCGGGCUAGCAAGUGGUGUAUGAAAGCUCCCGGCUCAACCGGGAAGGGUUAUGCCAGACUGCUAGUCUUGAGUGCGAGAGAGGAGCGUGGAAUUCCGGGUGUAGUGGUGAAAUGCGUAGAGAUCCGGAGGAACCCCAGAGGCGAAGGCGGCGCUCUGGCUCGCAACUGACGCUCAGACACGACAGCAUGGGGAGCGAACGGGAUUAGAAACCCCCGUAGUCC
rnacentral:rRNA from 1 species